AGUCGCUCAGUCGUGUCUGAUUCUUAGCAACCCCAUGGAUUGCAGCCUAACAGGCUCCUCCGCCCAUGGGAUUUUCCAAGCAAGAGUACUGGAGUGGGGUGCCAUUGCCUUCUCCAAAGUUAGAGUAUACAUUAAUCUUAAGAAAUGUGCCCCUCUGGUGCCCGUGUACUCCUUUGAGGAGAAUGACAUCUUCAGAGUUAAGGCUUCUGCCCCAGCCUCCUGGAAGCGUCUGUUCCAGGUCACCAUCAAGAAGCUCGUGGACAUUUCUCCUUGCAUCUUCUAGGGCCGUGGUCUCUUCUCAGCCAGGGCCUGGGUCUGGUGCCCUUCGCCAGACCCAUCACCACUGUGGUCGACUGCCCCACCCCGGUGCCCCAGCGCCCACAGGCCAUUGAGCAGCAGGUGGAUCACUGUCACGUGCUCUACAUGAAGGCCCUGGAGCAACUGUUCGAGGAGUGCAAGGAGAGCUACAGCAUCCUGGCUUCUACUCGCCUCACCUUCAUCGAGCCCUGGCCUCACCCCUCCCCACCUCACAGCCUCCCAGCCCCUGAUCCCAGUGCCUGAGCCCCCCCACCGACUGCCAUGCUGCUGUGCCAAUAAGAGCCAGUUCUCUCACCA